rnacentral:other from 1 species
CGGUUACUGCUCUUCGCGUGCGAGGCCCUUUUCCAGUGGCCGAUAAGCAUUUCCGAGGGGGCUGGCUCUGCCAGGAUCCUGGUCCUGGUAUCUGGCGCCCACCUGAUCACUCAGGCUCUCGGGAAAUUCACGCCUUCACGGUUGCUGCGGUUUCCGC